UCGCGCGAUUGGAGCGGCCGAUGUCGGAUUAGCUAGUUGGUAGGGUAAAGGCCUACCAAGGCGACGAUCCGUAGCGGGUCUGAGAGGAUGAUCCGCCACACUGGGACUGAGACACGGCCCAGACUCCUACGGGAGGCAGCAGUGGGGAAUUUUGGACAAUGGGCGCAAGCCUGAUCCAGCCAUGCCGCGUGAGUGAAGAAGGCCUUCGGGUUGUAAAGCUCUUUCAGGUGGAAAGAAAACGCAUGGGUCAAUACCCUGUGUGGAUGACGGUACCAUCAGAAGAAGCACCGGCUAACUACGUGCCAGCAGCCGCGGUAAUACGUAGGGUGCGAGCGUUAAUCGGAAUUACUGGGCGUAAAGCGUGCGCAGGCGGUGAUGUAAGACAGAUGUGAAAUCCCCGGGCUCAACCUGGGAACUGCGUUUGUGACUGCAUCACUCGAGUACGGCAGAGGGAGGUGGAAUUCCGCGUGUAGCAGUGAAAUGCGUAGAUAUGCGGAGGAACACCGAUGGCGAAGG
rnacentral:rRNA from 1 species